rnacentral:rRNA from 1 species
AACGCGAAGAACCUUACCUGGCCUUGAUAUCCUAAGAAUCCUGUAGAGAUACGGGAGUGCUAGUUUACUAGAACUUAGAGACAGGUGCUGCACGGCUGUCGUCAGCUCGUGUCGUGAGAUGUUGGGUUAAGUCCCGCAACGAGCGCAACCCUCGUGAUUAGUUGCUAACAGUUCGGCUGAGCACUCUAAUCAGACUGCCUUCGCAAGGAGGAGGAAGGUGAGGACGACGUCAAGUCAUCAUGGCCCUUAUGGCCAGGGCUACACACGUGCUACAAUGGCUAGGACAAAGAGACGCGAUACUGCGAAGUGGAGCAAAUCUUAAAACCUAGUCUCAGUUCGGAUUGGAGUCUGCAACUCGACUCCAUGAAGCUGGAAUCGCUAGUAAUCGUAGAUCAGAUAUGCUACGGUGAAUACGUUCCCGGGCCUUGUACACACCG